UCUCAUAUUUGUAUAAAUAUGCAAGGACUAAAGAGAAGUAGACCACUGUAGAAAAGAGAAGUUGACCUGCGCGUGGGGAAUGAAGCAAGAGUUCCUGCAUUAGCUGUAGGGACAUACUUCUUACCAUUGCCUUCGGGCUUAGUAUUAGAAUUAAAAAAUUGUUAUUUUGUUCCCGCCAUUACUAAAACAUUAUUUCUAUUUCGUGUUUGGACAUGAA
rnacentral:lncRNA from 1 species